UUGACCUCAAAUCGGGUGAGACUACCCGCUGAACUUAAGCAUAUCAAUAAGCGGAGGAAAAGAAACUAACAAGGAUUCCCCUAGUAACUGCGAGUGAAGCGGGAAAAGCUCAAAUUUAAAAUCUGGUGGUCUUCUGGCCAUCCGAGUUGUAAUUUAGAGAAGCGUCUUCCGCGCUGGACCGUGCACAAGUCUCCUGGAAUGGAGCGUCAUAGAGGGUGAGAAUCCCGUCUUUGGCACGGACUCCCAGGGCUUUUGUGAUGCGCUCUCGAAGAGUCGAGUUGUUUGGGAAUGCAGCUCAAAAUGGGUGGUGAACUCCAUCUAAAGCUAAAUAUUGGCGAGAGACCGAUAGCGAACAAGUACCGUGAGGGAAAGAUGAAAAGCACUUUGGAAAGAGAGUGAAACAGUACGUGAAAUUGUUGAAAGGGAAACGCUUGAAGUCAGUCGCGUCGACCGAGACUCAGCCUCGCCUCGGCUUGGUGUACUUCUCGGCCGACGGGUCAGCAUCGAUUUCGAUCCUCGGAUAAUGACGAGGGAAAGGUGGCACCCUUUCGGGUGUGUUAUAGUCCUCCGUCGCAUGCGAGGGUCGGGAUCGAGGAACUCAGCACGCGCCUCUCGGCGUCGGGGCUUCGGCUCACGUUACGUGCUUAGGAUGCUGCGAUA
rnacentral:rRNA from 1 species